rnacentral:rRNA from 1 species
UACGUAGGGUGCAGGCGUUAAUCGGAAUUACUGGGCAUAAAGCGUGCGCAGGCGGUUUGCUAAGACAGGUGUGAAAUCCCCGGGCUUAACCUGGGAACUGCGCUUGUUACUGGCAGGCUUGAGUGUGGCAGAGGGGGGUGGAAUUCCACGUGUAGCAGUGAAAUGCGUAGAGAUGUGGAGGAACACCGAUGGCGAAGGCAGCCCCCUGGGCUAACACUGACGCUCAUGCACGAAAGCGUGGGGAGCAAACAGG